UACGAAGGUCCCGAGCGUUGUUCGGAAUCACUGGGCGUAAAGGGAGCGUAGGCGGCGCGGUAAGUCAGAUGUGAAAUCCCGGGGCUCAACCCCCGGAACUGCAUCCGAUACUGCCGUGCUAGAGGAUUGGAGAGGUAGCUGGAAUUCUUGGUGUAGCAGUGAAAUGCGUGGAUAUCAAGAGGAACACUCGUGGCGAAAGCGAGCUACUGGACAACUCCUGACGCUGAGGCUCGAAGGCCAGGGUAGCGAAAGGG
rnacentral:rRNA from 1 species